UACGUAGGGGGCAAGCGUUGUCCGGAUUCAUUGGGCGUAAAGAGCUCGUAGGCGGCUUGGCAAGUCGGGUGUGAAAACUCCAGCUCAACCUGGAGACGCCACCCGAUACUGCCAUGGCUAGAGUCCGGUAGGGGACCACGGAAUUCCUGGUGUAGCGGUGAAAUGCGCAGAUAUCAGGAGGAACACCGGUGGCGAAGGCGGUGGUCUGGGCCGGAACUGACGCUGAGGAGCGAAAGCGUGGGGAGCGAACAGG
rnacentral:rRNA from 1 species